rnacentral:rRNA from 1 species
GAUGAACGCUGGCGGCGUGCCUAACACAUGCAAGUCGAACGAGAUGCGUAUUGGAAAGCUUCGGCCGGAAGAUGCGUUAUCUAGUGGCGGACGGGUGAGUAACACGUGGGUAACCUGCCUUAUGGAGGGGGAUAACAGAGAGAAAUCACUGCUAAUACCGCAUACGCACACAUUGCCGCAUGGCAGAGUGUGAAAAGAUUUAUCGCCAUAAGAUGGACCCGCGUCUGAUUAGCCAGUUGGCAGGGUAAAAGCCUACCAAAGCAACGAUCAGUAGCCGAUCUGAGAGGAUGACCGGCCACAUUGGGACUGAGACACGGCCCAAACUCCUACGGGAGGCAGCAGUGGGGAAUAUUGCACAAUGGGGGAAACCCUGAUGCAGCGACGCCGCGUGAGUGAAGAAGUAUUUCGGUAUGUAAAGCUCUAUCAGCAGGGAAGAUAAUGACAGUACCUGACUAAGAAGCCCCGGCUAACUACGUG